AGCUUGGACCAGGUUGCAGCAUUUAACGGACUUUUCUAGGUUUCCAGAGUAAUAGACUGAUGUCUACAGUGAGGGAUGCACAGCUCGUUCCUCUCACACCCUCGGGUGUCCGCCCCUCGCAAAGACUCGGGAUUGGAACCUACGAAGGCUUCCCAAAUGCUGACCCAGCCCUGCACCAAGCCGGCCCUGCACCAAGCCGGCUGCCAGAACCUCCCAGGAGCCGGUUUCGAUAGAGAGGCGUCGCUGUGCCGCAGAAGAACCAGCACAGUUUUGGGACCGCUCAGGGCUCAGAUCCUGGUAAAGACACGCGCAGGUGGAAUUCCUCUUUUCUGGACUGAGUGGCAAAGAAAUCACUUCCAGAGAGCCU
rnacentral:lncRNA from 1 species